rfam:Lachnoclostridium sp. YL32, complete genome.
GGGACCUGUACUCGUUGCGGGUCAACGAUGGUAAAAGA